GCCGGGGUGGCAGAGCGGACAAUUUUCGCGGCUGGAAGGCCGCGGGAGUUCAUACGCGGCAGGCUCGAGACCUGUUGUCCCUUCCUGGGACGCUUGGGUUCAAAUCCCAACCCCGGCG
rnacentral:tRNA from 1 species